GGUUGUGGAGUUUUACCACUCACUGAUGAGGAGAGAAUCACAGUCCUGACGGGAGCUGAGUUCCGGCGUGCCGGAGGUGCCGCCGGCGGCGGAAAAUCCACGUGACGUGAUCGGAGAGAUUGAGAACCGCUCAACUCACCUGCUAGCGAUCAAAACUGAUGUGGAAACACAAGGAGAUUUCAUUAGAUGCUUAAUCAAAGAAGUGGAGGGUCUGCAUUUACUGACAUUGAAGAUGUGGUACUCUUUGUUAAAUGGCUUAAUGAUGAUCUCUCCUACUUGUGGAUGAAAGAGCAGUGCUGAAACACUUUGAUUGGCCGGAGCAGAAAGCCGAUGCUCUACGCGAGGCUGCGUUCGGGUAUUGUUAUUUGAAGAAGUUGGAAUCCGAGGUUUCAUCCUUCCGCUAUGAUCCUAGGCAGCCAUGUGGUCCAGCACUCAAGAAGAUGCAUGCUCUGUUGGAAAAAUUAGAGCAUGGGGUUAAUAAUAUCUCAAGAAUGAGAGAGGCAGCAACCAAUAGAUACAAAGUCUUCCAAAUACCAGUACAUUGGAUGCUUGAUAAUGGUUUUGUGAGUCAGGUAAUUUUGAUGUAUCAAUUGAGAAGUUUUUAUAUUGCGUGUUUGUGUUCUUAGGUUAGAGGUGGUAAUUUGUUUUGUUGAUGCAUUUUUUUAAGGAGAACAUUGAGGUAUUUGUGGACCAAAAUGGGAAACUUAUUCCUCAAGCUCUUUCUUAUUGCGAGAGAGGUUAUGGAACUAUGUGUGUGACAAGGCCAUCAAGGUAAUUAGAUACCUCAAAUUCUUGCAAGCACCGUUUUGUGUGCAGGAAUUUCAGUUUCGAUUGAUCCGGUGUUGAACUUAUCGAACAAUACCAGUGGAGGAGAGGGAGUGUCUGAAACGAGGGUCUGGUGAAGCUUUGAGCAGCAGCGGCUAUGGCUAUGUUGAGAUGCGAUUGGAUAGACAUCCACUGGCCACUGCUCUCAACUUAUCAGGAUUUGAAUUUCUGGUUCCAGUUCCUGAACACUUGAGAACUAACGUGUGUGGGGUUUUGUUGAAAUUGAGAACUUGAAGAAGGUAGAAGUGUAGAACUAGAAGGAGAAGAUUAAAGAAUACUUACAAGCAGCACCAUAUAUCAAGACUAGAUGCAGUGCUUAGCAACGUACUAAGGAGGAAAUGAGUGUUACCUGAAAUAUCUCAACUUAUGGUGAUGAAGUCAUUGUUCUUGAUGCCCUUGCUAUGGAUAUGAUUUAGCAGGACUAUAUCUUUUGAAGUUUAUAUAGUUGGGCUCCUAAACUAAUGCGAACUGAUGAUUUUGUUAUU